AUUGAACGCUGGCGGCAUGCCUUACACAUGCAAGUCGAACGGCAGCACGGGUGCUUGCCCCUGGUGGCGAGUGGCGAACGGGUGAGUAAUACAUCGGAACAUGUCCUGUAGUGGGGGAUAGCCCGGCGAAAGCCGGAUUAAUACCGCAUACGAUCUACGGAUGAAAGCGGGGGACCUUCGGGCCCCGCGCUAUAGGGUUGGCCGAUGGCUGAUUAGCUAGUUGGUGGGGUAAAGGCCUACCAAGGCGACGAUCAGUAGCUGGUCUGAGAGGACGACCAGCCACACUGGGACUGAGACACGGCCCAGACUCCUACGGGAGGCAGCAGUGGGGAAUUUUGGACAAUGGGCGAAAGCCUGAUCCAGCAAUGCCGCGUGUGUGAAGAAGGCCUUCGGGUUGUAAAGCACUUUUGUCCGGAAAGAAAUCCUUGGCCCUAAUACGGUCGGGGGAUGACGGUACCGGAAGAAUAAGCACCGGCUAACUACGUG
rnacentral:rRNA from 1 species